rnacentral:rRNA from 1 species
CCUGAUCCAGCAAUGCCGCGUGUGUGAAGAAGGCCUUCGGGUUGUAAAGCACUUUUAUCAGGAGCGAAAUACUGCCGGCUAAUACCCGGCGGGGCUGACGGUACCUGAGGAAUAAGCACCGGCUAACUUCGUGCCAGCAGCCGCGGUAAUACGAAGGGUGCAAGCGUUAAUCGGAAUUACUGGGCGUAAAGCGUGCGUAGGCGGUUCUUUAAGUCUGCUGUGAAAUCCCCGGGCUCAACCUGGGAAUGGCAGUGGAUACUGGAGAGCUAGAGUGUGAUAGAAGAUGGUGGAAUUCCCGGUGUAGCGGUGAAAUGCGUAAAGAUCGGGAGGAACAUCAGUGGCGAAGGCGGCCAUCUGGAUCAACACUGACGCUGAGGCACGAAAGCGUGGGGAGCAAACAGGAUUAGAUACCCUGGUAGUCCACGCCCUAAACGAUGCGAACUGGAUGUUGGUCUCAACUCGGAGAUCAGUGUCGAAGCUAACGCGUUAAGUUCGCCGCCUGGGGAGUACGGUCGCAAGACUGAAACUCAAAGGAAUUGACGGGAGCCCGCACAAGCGGUGGAGUAUGUGGUUUAAUUCAAUGCAACGCGAAGAACCUUACCUGGCCUUGACAUGUCUGGAAUCC